UUCAUUGGGCGGGCCCUGGCAGGGGAGCCUUCGGGCUCGCCGGCUUUUGGCUCUUUCCCCGGUCUGCUAACCCUGCCUUGCGCCCGCCCACCCUA
rnacentral:antisense_RNA from 1 species